rnacentral:rRNA from 2 species
AGGACGAACGCUGGCGGCGUGCCUAAUACAUGCAAGUCGAACGAACUCUGGUAUUGAUUGGUGCUUGCAUCAUGAUUUACAUUUGAGUGAGUGGCGAACUGGUGAGUAACACGUGGGAAACCUGCCCAGAAGCGGGGGAUAACACCUGGAAACAGAUGCUAAUACCGCAUAACAACUUGGACCGCAUGGUCCGAGUUUGAAAGAUGGCUUCGGCUAUCACUUUUGGAUGGUCCCGCGGCGUAUUAGCUAGAUGGUGGGGUAACGGCUCACCAUGGCAAUGAUACGUAGCCGACCUGAGAGGGUAAUCGGCCACAUUGGGACUGAGACACGGCCCAAACUCCUACGGGAGGCAGCAGUAGGGAAUCUUCCACAAUGGACGAAAGUCUGAUGGAGCAACGCCGCGUGAGUGAAGAAGGGUUUCGGCUCGUAAAACUCUGUUGUUAAAGAAGAACAUAUCUGAGAGUAACUGUUCAGGUAUUGACGGUAUUUAACCAGAAAGCCACGGCUAACUACGUGCCAGCAGCCGCGGUAAUACGUAGGUGGCAAGCGUUGUCCGGAUUUAUUGGGCGUAAAGCGAGCGCAGGCGGUUUUUUAAGUCUGAUGUGAAAGCCUUCGGCUCAACCGAAGAAGUGCAUCGGAAACUGGGAAACUUGAGUGCAGAAGAGGACAGUGGAACUCCAUGUGUAGCGGUGAAAUGCGUAGAUAUAUGGAAGAACACCAGUGGCGAAGGCGGCUGUCUGGUCUGUAACUGACGCUGAGGCUCGAAAGUAUGGGUAGCAAACAGGAUUAGAUACCCUGGUAGUCCAUACCGUAAACGAUGAAUGCUAAGUGUUGGAGGGUUUCCGCCCUUCAGUGCUGCAGCUAACGCAUUAAGCAUUCCGCCUGGGGAGUACGGCCGCAAGGCUGAAACUCAAAGGAAUUGACGGGGGCCCGCACAAGCGGUGGAGCAUGUGGUUUAAUUCGAAGCUACGCGAAGAACCUUACCAGGUCUUGACAUACUAUGCAAAUCUAAGAGAUUAGACGUUCCCUUCGGGGACAUGGAUACAGGUGGUGCAUGGUUGUCGUCAGCUCGUGUCGUGAGAUGUUGGGUUAAGUCCCGCAACGAGCGCAACCCUUAUUAUCAGUUGCCAGCAUUAAGUUGGGCACUCUGGUGAGACUGCCGGUGACAAACCGGAGGAAGGUGGGGAUGACGUCAAAUCAUCAUGCCCCUUAUGACCUGGGCUACACACGUGCUACAAUGGAUGGUACAACGAGUUGCGAACUCGCGAGAGUAAGCUAAUCUCUUAAAGCCAUUCUCAGUUCGGAUUGUAGGCUGCAACUCGCCUACAUGAAGUCGGAAUCGCUAGUAAUCGCGGAUCAGCAUGCCCGGUGGAAUAACCUUUCCCGGGGCCUUGUACACACCGCCCGUCACACCAUGAGAGUUUGUAACACCCAAAGUCGGUGGGGUAACCUUUUAGGAACCAGCCGCCUAAGGUGGGACAGAUGAUUAGGUGAUCUGAAAAAAACCCCCCACACAAAAA